UACGGAGGGUGCGAGCGUUGUCCGGAAUCACUGGGCGUAAAGGGCGCGUAGGUGGCUUCUCAAGCGCGCGGUGAAAGCCCGGGGCUCAACCCCGGGUCGGCCGUGCGGACUGGGAGGCUCGAGCACUGUAGGGGCGGGUGGAAUUCCGGGUGUAGCGGUGGAAUGCGUAGAGAUCCGGAGGAACACCAGCGGCGAAGGCGGCAUCCUGGACUGGUCCUGACACUCAGGAGCGAAAGCGUGGGGAGCGAUCCGG
rnacentral:rRNA from 1 species